rnacentral:rRNA from 1 species
UUAAGCGACUAAGCGUACACGGUGGAUGCCCUGGCAGUCAGAGGCGAUGAAGGACGUGCUAAUCUGCGAUAAGCGUCGGUAAGGUGAUAUGAACCGUUAUAACCGGCGAUUUCCGAAUGGGGAAACCCAGUGUGAUUCGUCACACUAUCAUUAACUGAAUCCAUAGGUUAAUGAGGCGAACCGGGGGAACUGAAACAUCUAAGUACCCCGAGGAAAAGAAAUCAACCGAGAUUCCCCCAGUAGCGGCGAGCGAACGGGGAGNNNNNNNNNNNNNNNNNAGCCCAGAGCCUGAAUCAGUGUGUGUGUUAGUGGAAGCGUCUGGAAAGGCGCGCGAUACAGGGUGACAGCCCCGUACACAAAAAUACACAUAUUGUGAGCUCGAUGAGUAGGGCGGGACACGUGGUAUCCUGUCUGAAUAUGGGGGGACCAUCCUCCAAGGCUAAAUACUCCUGACUGACCGAUAGUGAACCAGUACCGUGAGGGAAAGGCGAAAAGAACCCCGGCGAGGGGAGUGAAAAAGAACCUGAAACCGUGUACGUACAAGCAGUGGGAGCACGCUUAGGCGUGUGACUGCGUACCUUUUGUAUAAUGGGUCAGCGACUUAUAUUCUGUAGCAAGGUUAACCGAAUAGGGGAGCCGAAGGGAAACCGAGUCUUAACUGGGCGUUAAGUUGCAGGGUAUAGACCCGAAACCCGGUGAUCUAGCCAUGGGCAGGUUGAAGGUUGGGUAACACUAACUGGAGGACCGAACCGACUAAUGUUGAAAAAUUAGCGGAUGACUUGUGGCUGGGGGUGAAAGGCCAAUCAAACCGGGAGAUAGCUGGUUCUCCCCGAAAGCUAUUUAGGUAGCGCCUCGUGAAUUCAUCUCCGGGGGUAGAGCACUGUUUCGGCAAGGGGGUCAUCCCGACUUACCAACCCGAUGCAAACUGCGAAUACCGGAGAAUGUUAUCACGGGAGACACACGGCGGGUGCUAACGUCCGUCGUGAAGAGGGAAACAACCCAGACCGCCAGCUAAGGUCCCAAAGUCAUGGUUAAGUGGGAAACGAUGUGGGAAGGCCCAGACAGCCAGGAUGUUGGCUUAGAAGCAGCCAUCAUUUAAAGAAAGCGUAAUAGCUCACUGGUCGAGUCGGCCUGCGCGGAAGAUGUAACGGGGCUAAACCAUGCACCGAAGCUGCGGCAGCGACGCUUAUGCGUUGUUGGGUAGGGGAGCGUUCUGUAAGCCUGCGAAGGUGUGCUGUGAGGCAUGCUGGAGGUAUCAGAAGUGCGAAUGCUGACAUAAGUAACGAUAAAGCGGGUGAAAAGCCCGCUCGCCGGAAGACCAAGGGUUCCUGUCCAACGUUAAUCGGGGCAGGGUGAGUCGACCCCUAAGGCGAGGCCGAAAGGCGUAGUCGAUGGGAAACAGGUUAAUAUUCCUGUACUUGGUGUUACUGCGAAGGGGGGACGGAGAAGGCUAUGUUGGCCGGGCGACGGUUGUCCCGGUUUAAGCGUGUAGGCUGGUUUUCCAGGCAAAUCCGGAAAAUCAAGGCUGAGGCGUGAUGACGAGGCACUACGGUGCUGAAGCAACAAAUGCCCUGCUUCCAGGAAAAGCCUCUAAGCAUCAGGUAACAUCAAAUCGUACCCCAAACCGACACAGGUGGUCAGGUAGAGAAUACCAAGGCGCUUGAGAGAACUCGGGUGAAGGAACUAGGCAAAAUGGUGCCGUAACUUCGGGAGAAGGCACGCUGAUAUGUAGGUGAAGUCCCUUGCGGAUGGAGCUGAAAUCAGUCGAAGAUACCAGCUGGCUGCAACUGUUUAUUAAAAACACAGCACUGUGCAAACACGAAAGUGGACGUAUACGGUGUGACGCCUGCCCGGUGCCGGAAGGUUAAUUGAUGGGGUCAGCGCAAGCGAAGCUCUUGAUCGAAGCCCCGGUAAACGGCGGCCGUAACUAUAACGGUCCUAAGGUAGCGAAAUUCCUUGUCGGGUAAGUUCCGACCUGCACGAAUGGCGUAAUGAUGGCCAGGCUGUCUCCACCCGAGACUCAGUGAAAUUGAACUCGCUGUGAAGAUGCAGUGUACCCGCGGCAAGACGGAAAGACCCCGUGAACCUUUACUAUAGCUUGACACUGAACAUUGAGCCUUGAUGUGUAGGAUAGGUGGGAGGCUUUGAAGUGUGGACGCCAGUCUGCAUGGAGCCGGCCUUGAAAUACCACCCUUUAAUGUUUGAUGUUCUAACGUGGACCCGUGAUCCGGGUUGCGGACAGUGUCUGGUGGGUAGUUUGACUGGGGCGGUCUCCUCCUAAAGAGUAACGGAGGAGCACGAAGGUUGGCUAAUCCUGGUCGGACAUCAGGAGGUUAGUGCAAUGGCAUAAGCCAGCUUGACUGCGAGCGUGACGGCGCGAGCAGGUGCGAAAGCAGGUCAUAGUGAUCCGGUGGUUCUGAAUGGAAGGGCCAUCGCUCAACGGAUAAAAGGUACUCCGGGGAUAACAGGCUGAUACCGCCCAAGAGUUCAUAUCGACGGCGGUGUUUGGCACCUCGAUGUCGGCUCAUCACAUCCUGGGGCUGAAGUAGGUCCCAAGGGUAUGGCUGUUCGCCAUUUAAAGUGGUACGCGAGCUGGGUUUAGAACGUCGUGAGACAGUUCGGUCCCUAUCUGCCGUGGGCGCUGGAGAACUGAGGGGGGCUGCUCCUAGUACGAGAGGACCGGAGUGGACGCAUCACUGGUGUUCGGGUUGUCAUGCCAAUGGCACUGCCCGGUAGCUAAAUGCGGAAGAGAUAAGUGCUGAAAGCAUCUAAGCACGAAACUUGCCCCGAGAUGAGUUCUCCCUGACCCUUUAAGGGUCCUGAAGGAACGUUGAAGACGACGACGUUGAUAGGCCGGGUGUGUAAGCGCAGCGAUGCGUUGAGCUAACCGGUACUAAUGAACCGUGAGGCUUAACCUU